rnacentral:misc_RNA from 1 species
AUGACAGUUGACAUCUGUCAAAAGAGCUGCAAAGUUGUGAAGAAGUUGAUACAGGAGAUAUUCUCAACCAUGGCUACAUCGGCGGAAGACAAGAGCUCUAACUUUCUGCGUCAGUUCAGAGAUUUAAAAACUCGUGAAUUUAAACUGUUAUCCGCCCAGCAGUUUAUGGAAGUUUGGAACCAUUACGAUACUGAUGGUAAUGGAUUUAUUGAAGGAAGCGAGUUGGACAGUUUCCUUACUCAGCUUGUGACUAGCAUUAACUCACAAGACAUAGGACCAGAGGUGGUGUCCCCAACCGCUCUAAUGGAUGCUAAAACAUUACUGAUGAACGCCUUUGACGAAAACAGCGACGGCAAAAUUGAUAUCGCAGAACUUGCCCAGAUUUUGCCCACAGAAGAAACCUUUCUUCUUCUGUUCCGUAGAGACAAUCCAUUAGAAUCCAGUGUAGAGUUUAUGAAGGUUUGGAGAGAGUUCGACAAAGACAGAAGUGGGUACAUCGAGGCCGAUGAGCUGAAGAACUUUUUGUUACAUUUGCUGAAGCAGUCCAAAAGAGAUAAUGAUGUAUCGGAAGAACAACUCAUUACAUACACAGACACCGUGCUUCAACUUUUUGACAGAAAUAAAGAUGGGAAAUUACAACUGAGUGAAAUGGCAAAGCUUCUUCCAGUGAAAGAGAAUUUCUUGUGUCGCCCAGUAUUUAAGAGUGCAAGCAAGCUGACAAAAGAUGACAUUGAUAAAGUAUUCCGUCUGUACGAUAGAGAUAAUAGUCAUUAUAUUGAAAACGAAGAACUAAACGGAUUUCUGAAGGAUCUAAUGGACCUCGUGGAAGAAGACUAUGACGAAGCAGACCUGAUCCAGUGCAGAGAGGCAUUGUUAAGGGACUGUGACCAAAAUCAUGACGGCAAAAUCGACUACAACGAACUCCGAAUGCUGCUGAUGUCCUAUAACCAGGUCUCAAUCGAUAACCCAGGUUUCGAGCAGGAAGACUCUUCCUAGGUUACAUAGGCUGAUUUGUAUCCUAUAGGACUGUAGUUAUUUAUAUAACCCCUCAUAACUUAUUGGAGGUUUGGGUCUCUUAAAAUUCCGCUGAUAUAUUGUUAUUGAUUUUGUAUUUUGACAUCUUUGGUGUUUUAACGUGUAUUUCUAUUGUAUUUUAACUGUAUGUAUACAUGUAGGACCAAAACUGCAUUAAAGAUUUUCAAAUAUUUAACUUAUUGUAAGCAAACGCUUUCAAUGUGAUGUUAUUAAUCAAAAUAUUGAUCGUAAGGCUUGUUACUAUGUCAUCAUUUGAAAUACUCUGUACAUGGAACUGCUGCAUGGUCACUGCAUCAUAGUUGUUACAAAUUCUAGCCCGCCAAGCUGUGUAACAAAAGAGACCGUCAUCAAAAGUAGUGUUUAAACAGAGAAAAUUUUAACACUGAUCAAAGGCGUCAAUAAUAGUAAAGAAUUUACCUAGUGUUAUUUUGGGUUUAUUGCACGAGUAAUUUAACUCGUAUGUAUGCUAGUACCUUUUGCAUGUUUAUAAGUAUAGACUAAUGUAUCGAUUAGAAUUGAAGAUGUAUAUAUUUCAUUUUGUUGUUUGGAAGUUGUACGCACAAAAUGUGUUAAGAAUAAUGUAAUCUCAUUAAACAGACCGUUUGAAGUAAUGAAUUAUGUGCAUUUAUACCAAGUAAGUAGCUUUGAUUGUUACGAGAUAUUUCUUUGUUAAUGACUAUAUGCCAAUGUAUGUUGGUGUUGUCAAUAAUAAAACAAUAUGAUAAUUAAAGCUUAGCCAAAAUGAUUAGAUAAUUAUAUAGUUGUGUUUGAAAACAAUAUAACCCGAUUUUAUUUAUAGCUUAAACAUCUACAUGUACUUUUUAAUUCCAUGAAAAGUAUUGAUUUACUUUACAGUAUUUCAUUUCUAUUUCAGUUUCCUUAGUUGUUGUAGUACUAUUAUGUAGUACUAUACACGUAUUUUAUUUCUUGGUACUUGCCAACACUCCCACAACGAUAUUGAAAAGUAAUCGUUUCACCUUUUUAAUUUUUUUUUAUUGUGUAAAUAUCAAAAUACGACUUGAUAUUAAGUUUAGAUAAAAUAGAAUAGUAAACUGUCUUAUUUUCUAUUUUUAAAAAAUCGAAAUACUCAUUUGUUCAUGUCAUUUAUAAAACUAAUAGCAAAGUCGCAUUGAUGUUACAAUGUAACUCGGGUUGCUUUUAAUUGUCGUUUCUUUAAUAUUUUCUUGAUAUUUUUGGUAAAGCUAUUGUGUAUUAUUGUAGUUUUCUCAAUUUGUCACAGUUCAACUAAAACAAAUUUUUUGUAGAUAGCAAAAUUGUUAUCUACGAUGUGAUGGCAAAUAUUGUUUUGCAUAUCGUUUAUUUUGUAGUUUUUUGUGGUAAUUUUUUGAAAGAUUAAUAAACAUGCUCUCUUACAUG